rnacentral:tRNA from 1 species
GGGCGUAUAGCUCAGUUGGAUAGAGCGUUGGCCUCCGGAGCCAAAGGCCACAGGUUCGAACCCUGUUACGCCCA